AACGAAUGUUGGCGACGCGUNUUAAGCAUGCAAGUCGGGCGGAGCAUUCCCUUCGGGGAGAUGGCGAGCGGCGGACUGGUGAGUAACACGUAGGUGAUCCGCCUCCGGGACCGGGAGAGCCAGUGGAAACACUGGGUAAUACCGGAUGUUGUACUGUGCAGAGAUGCACAAUAUGAAAGCUGUGCAAGCAGCGCCGGGAGAAGAGCCUGCGUCCUAUUAGUUAGUUGGUGAGAUAACAGCCCACCAAGACGAUGAUAGGUAGCCGACCUGAGAGGGUGAUCGGCCACAUUGGGACUGAGAUACGGCCCAGACUCCUACGGGAGGCAGCAGCUAAGAAUAUUCCGCAAUGGGCGAAAGCCUGACGGAGCGACGUCGCGUGGAGGAUGAAGGCUUUCGGGUUGUAAACUCCUUUCGGCAGGGAAGAAUAAGGUGCGCAGGCAAUGGCGCACUGAUGACGGUACCUGCAUAAGAAGCCCCGGCUAACUACGUGCCAGCAGCCGCGGUAAUACGUAGGGGGCAAACGUUGUUCGGAAUUAUUGGGCGUAAAGAGCACGUAGGCGGACUGGUAAGUUAGUGGUGAAAUACUCAGGCUCAACCUGAGGCACGCCCCUAAAACUACCUGUCUAGAGUUGCAUAGAGGCAGUAGGAAUUCCUGGUGGAGGGGUGAAAUCUGUAGAUAUCAGGAAGAACACCAAUGGCGAAGGCAAGCUGCUAGGUGACAACUGACGCUGAGGUGCGAAAGCCAGGGGAGCGAACGGGAUUAGAUACCCCGGUAGUCCUGGCCGUAAACGAUGCACACUAGUUGUCGGAUAUAUGCUUUCAUAUAAUCGGUGACGAAAGUCAACGCGAUAAGUGUGCCGNCUGGGGAGUAUGCCCGCAAGGGUGAAACUCAAAGGAAUUGACGGUGGCCCGCACAAGCGGUGGAGCAUGUGGUUCAAUUCGAUGGUACGCGAAGAAUCUUACC
rnacentral:rRNA from 1 species